CGAGGCGGGAUGAAAAGGGUGGGGGGUGUUAAUGGCUCUUCAGAGAAGCUCUGUCAGGUUUUGAGUGAUACGAAAUGAGAGAGGAAUAAAAAACAAACGAAGCUGUACCCGUGUGGAUUAACGGUCGGAUUAAGCAUGGACAUCUUAUGAAGCUUGAGCUGUGCCUGGGAUCUGGCAGCCAGAUUUGGAUGAGCGCAUCAUCUUUCCAGCCUUCUCCGCCACUUCAGCAUUUGACAGGUUCUGGCUGUUCGGGCGAACUUGGAAUGUGAGAGCCGGACCUACCACGCUGCAAACAGAACUUAACAGUCAUGCACACAAAACAAGUACAGGCUACAGGAACACAGGGGAUAUGAGGGAGGAGUGACUGAUAUUACCUGAUGUUGAUAAAAGAGCCAAUGGUGAGAUGGAUCCUCUUAGUCAGGGCCACCAAAAGACGAAUGCCAUCAAACAGAGAGAGGGGACUGUAGAGACACACAUUGAUGUGCCACAUACAAACACAGGACUUACUCACCGUCAUCAUCAGGCCUAGACUGCUUGGAGGACUUCUUCUUCUGUUCCUGGCUACUGCCCCCCAUGCCUUUGGAAACAUAGUUUUUGCUGUACUCCAGUGGGAAGUCCAGGUCCUCGAAGAAAGGUGAAGUUGAGAGGGGUGUCGCCACCCGAUGGCCGGUGUUGGUCUGUCCAGGAGAGGAGAGUAGGAGAGACAUCAGAUCCUGAAGCAGCUGUGUGUCCUUAUCCAGAGCAUUAGGACGAGGCCUUGGCACUCUAGAGGAGGAUGUGUGGUACAUGUUCCCAUCCACCAGGUUUAGAGAGCGCUCCUCUUCAUCUUGGUAACCAUACUGCAUGGUAUAAGGUUCCAGGCUUUGCAUGUGAAGGGAGGACUGAGGAGGAUCAACAAUCAUGUAGUCCAUGUACCGCUGGAGUUUGGGGUUUAGCUGGUCUGCUGGCCCUCCACUAGAUCUGGGUGAAAAGAAGAUUGGAAGAAAUGCUGUCUAAACUCUGCUCAUGAGUCAAGAUGCAAUUGCACAUUGUGCUCAUUUUCAAAGAUGAGGUUCACUGAAACUGCUUUGCACAAUCAGAUCGGCCACUCUCACACUCUCUAUUACAGAUAUUGUUUAAACACCAUAAGCACAGGAGUGGAUUACUAAAUGUGCAGAAACCAAAGAAAAUAAGGCUAAAUAAAAGCCUUCAUGACACCCUUGAUUGAAUAAAAUUACAAUGGAUAUAAAGUUUACUUACCCCUGUUCAAAUUGCAUUUUUCUUUUAUUUAAGAAACUAAAAAAAUCAUUUCAGACCUUUAAGGACUUUAAUAUUAAUAGCAACCUAUACAAAUAAAGUAAAAAAUUUGAAUUGAAAGAUUUUUGGGAAGAAGACCUGGUUGUACUAUAACAUCUAUGUACUUAGAUUAGGUAUGUACCCUAAUUUUUGAUGAGGAGUGGGGUAAAAAGAAUUCAAACAUACCAUAGAAUAUGAUCAAGUGAAGAAAAGUAAAGCACCACAGUAAUAUUAUCUAGAACAGGACAUCGCUCUAAUAUGUACAACAUAACAAGCUGAAUAUUUAACAGGGAAGACACACAGCAACUUUAAAGGAGCUGCAGGAAUAUCUGACAAGUAUUGGAGGCUUUCUGCAUGUCCUCAUUCCUGGCACGAGAAGAAUAUCAGCACAACAUUGACCUAAAGCAUAGAUCCAAAUCAACAAAGGAAUGGCUUCACCAAAAUAUCAACAUUUUGCACAAAGCCCAGACCUGAAAUAACUGAAAAUCUGUGAAUUGACCUGAAAAAGGUUGUGCACAGCAGAGCAUAUUCUAGACUGUGAAAGAACAUAAAGGAAAUAAAAGUGGAGUAAUAAAUUCAAAAAGUGCCUCAACAAAGCAUUAGUUUUUUGGGGUGUGCACACUUAUUUUUCACUUAUUUUUUUUAGGUUGCAAUUUCACAUUAAUUUAACAUCAAAAUAAAUCAUAUAAAAAAUGUGGUAUGAUUUAUCUUUAUUUUUUUUUUGCAUCACAAAAAAAAUGAUAUUUAAACAGGGGUGUGUAGACUUUUUUCAUCCACUGUAAGGUGGUAUCAUUUUGGUAUCAGUAUCAAACAUUAACAAAAAACAUGUAUUUGUACUUGUUCUAGAAAAAAAAGUUACCAGUGAAUCUUUAGCUGAAAGAGAAUGAAAACUAGGCAUAAGAAGCAAGUGGUCAUUUUAAUUAAGAUGAAUGCAUGUUGAAGGACAAGAAUGGGUUCUGAGAUUGAGAUCAAUCUUCUUUUAAGUAAAAUUCACAUCUAAAGUCAAUACUCUUAAUACCUAUUAAUGCUUGUCAUAGAUAAAACUAUAUGUACUCGUUAUUUAAUGACAUCUAUAUUUUAUUGAUGAGGUGGGGGGUGUUAAUGAGGACCGGAAUAUUGACCCUGGAAGCAGGAGACUGGACAUGCAUUCUAUAGUGCUGAGGAUGUUAGGUUGAUUUGUGGGAUAACAGGAAGUAGAAAGUUAUGAGAUUAAGAGUUGAGAAAUUAAGAAUAAGGAGAACGAAGAUCCUUCCUGGGAGCCUUGUACCUGUGGUGCUUAUAGCCAUAAGGAAGUCCCAGAAUGAAAUCUUCCAUGUUUGCAAAUUUUAGGGAAUGUACUUGACUUUACCUGUUAUUCAGCUAGUCAUCCUCCUGUUUGCUUUAGCUGAGGCGGAAGAAGACAGGAGGGAAAGAUCAUGGUAAAUGGAUAAGGAUGGCACUGGAUACUUCCCUAGAUACGCAGACUUCUGAGAGGACAAGAAUGACUGGUAUGGGCUGAUUUUCUAUUUAUUUUUUAAUUAAUUGGCCUAUCAGGGAGGUCAGUCCAGAGUAACAGCACUGUUGGUAGGAAAAGGGACUGCGAGCAGGGUAAUAUAUUGUCUUUAUGAGAGUGCUUUCAGGUCUGGGUGGAGUGUUGCAUUAUGCUUUUCUGUGUGAACUGCAUUCACACAUUUGAGGGAGAGUGUAAUAGGAGCUGAGGUUUAGGAUUGAUUUCUUGAGGUAAUUCACUUGAUUUACUGCAUGCGUUUGUGCUGGUCAAUAACUUAUUAUGUAGGGGAACCCAGGCACUGGAUCUUUUUCUUGGCAAAGAUGUAUGAAUUUUAAAAAAGCAUAAAAUAUUUAGGGUUUUUUUUCUUAAUUUUUUUUUUAUUUUUACAUAUAAGCCCUGCACAUGAAAUAACACCAAGAUGUAUUAAUUGUUGUUAUGUGUAACACUGUGUAUUCUGAAAUGCCACUGGACAUACAGUAUGUUUUUACAAUAAGUAGGGCACUUAAAAUUGUAUAUGCUUUAAAUACACAA